rnacentral:rRNA from 1 species
GGACGGGGACAACAGUUGGAAACGACUGCUAAUACCCGAUGUGCCGAAAGGUGAAACCUAAUUGGCCUGAAGAAGAGCUUGCGUCUGAUUAGCUAGUUGGUGGGGUAAAGGCCUACCAAGGCGACGAUCAGUAGCUGGUCUGAGAGGAUGAGCAGCCACACUGGGACUGAGACACGGCCCAGACUCCUACGGGAGGCAGCAGUGGGGAAUUUUCCGCAAUGGGCGAAAGCCUGACGGAGCAACGCCGCGUGGGGGAGGAAGGUCUUUGGAUUGUAAACCUCUUUUCUCAAGGAAGAAGUUCUGACGGUACUUGAGGAAUCAGCCUCGGCUAACUCCGUGCCAGCAGCCGCGGUAAUACGGGGGAGGCAAGCGUUAUCCGGAAUUAUUGGGCGUAAAGCGUCCGCAGGUGGUCAGCCAAGUCUGCCGUCAAAUCAGGUUGCUUAACGACCUAAAGGCGGUGGAAACUGGCAGACUAGAGAGCAGUAGGGGUAGCAGGAAUUCCCAGUGUAGCGGUGAAAUGCGUAGAGAUUGGGAAGAACAUCGGUGGCGAAAGCGUGCUACUGGGCUGUAUCUGACACUCAGGGACGAAAGCUAGGGAGCG